UCAACCUUUAUUUUUAAUACUUGUGCUCUGUAACUGUAAAUUUUCUAUAUAUAGGGAGCUUUGGAAGACAAACUAUCCGCAGCAGAGAGCCAGCAAAAACCUUAGACACAGUAUUAAGAUGUAUUUCGACGGAUAUGGGUAUCAUGGAGCCUCAUUUGAGCAGACAUAUCGAUGUUACCCUUCAUCCUUUAUCGAUAAGGAUAAUUGGCCUUCUGUGAUGUUUGCAAUGGCAGGAGGGGUGGUACUUAGCCUUGGAAAUCUCUCAACUCAGUAUGCUUGGGCUUUUGUUAGCUUAUCAGUCACAUAAGUGAUCACUGCAGGCAUAACAGUUGUUAUAGGAACAACCUCGAAUUACUUUUUAGACAAUAGAAUUAAUAGAGCCGAGAUCCUUUUCCCUGGCGUUGGCUGCUUCUUGGUUGUAGUUUGCCUUACUUCUACUGUCCAAUCAUCUGAUGCAGCUGAUAAUAAAGAAA